AAAGUACUCCCUCCGUCCAGAAAUACUUGUCAUCAAAAUGAAUAAAAGAGGUUGUAUCUAGAUGUAUUUUAGUUCUAGAUACAUCCCUUUUUGUCCAUUUUGAUGACAAGUAUUUUCGGACGGAGGGAGUACUUC
rfam:Triticum aestivum genome assembly, contig: Triticum_aestivum_CS42_TGACv1_scaffold_376385_5AL